rnacentral:tRNA from 1 species
GCCUGGGUGGCUCAGUCGGUUGAGUGUCUGACUUAGGCUCAGGUCACAAUCUCACAUGACCGUGAGUUCAAGCCCCGUGUCGGGCU